rnacentral:rRNA from 1 species
GUGAACGCUGGCGGUAGGCCUAACACAUGCAAGUCGAACGGCAGCACAGUAAGCGCUUGCUCUUCCGGGUGGCGAGUGGCGGACGGGUGAGGAAUACAUCGGAAUCUACUUUUUCGUGGGGGAUAACGUAGGGAAACUUACGCUAAUACCGCAUACGACCUACGGGUGAAAGCAGGGGAUCUUCGGACCUUGCGCGAUUGAAUGAGCCGAUGUCGGAUUAGCUAGUUGGCGGGGUAAAGGCCCACCAAGGCGACGAUCCGUAGCUGGUCUGAGAGGAUGAUCAGCCACACUGGAACUGAGACACGGUCCAGACUCCUACGGGAGGCAGCAGUGGGGAAUAUUGGACAAUGGGCGCAAGCCUGAUCCAGCCAUACCGCGUGGGUGAAGAAGGCCUUCGGGUUGUAAAGCCCUUUUGUUGGGAAAGAAAAGCAGCAGGUUAAUACCCCGCUGUUCUGACGGUACCCAAAGAAUAAGCACCGGCUAACUUCGUG